rnacentral:tRNA from 1 species
GGAGAUGUAGCUCAGUUGUUGGAGUUCUUGCCUCACAUGCAUAAGAUCCUGGGUUCAAUCCCCAGCACCACAA